ACUCAAAUGAAUUGACGGGGGCCCGCACAAGCGGCGGAGCAUGCGGCUUAAUUCGAUGCGACGCGAAGAACCUUACCUGGGCUUGACAUGCAGGGUGAAGCCGGUGAAAGCCGGUGCUCUACGGAGCCUGCACAGGUGGUGCAUGGCUGUCGUCAGCUCGUGCCGUGAGGUGUUGCCUUAAGUGGCGCAACGAGCGCAACCCUUGUCCUCAGUUGCCAGCGGGUCAUGCCGGGAACUCUGAGGAGACUGCCGGUGCCAAACCGGAGGAAGGUGGGGAUGACGUCAAGUCAUCAUGCCCCUUAUGUCCAGGGCUGCACGCAUGCUACAAUGCGCGAUACAGAGGGCUGCGAUCCCGCAAGGGGGAGCGAAUCCCAAAAAGUCGCGCUCAGUUCGGAUCGGGGUCUGCAACCCGACCCCGUGAAGUCGGAGUCGCUAGUAAUCGCGGAUCAGCAAUGCCGCGGUGAAUACGUUCCCGGGCCUUGUACACACCGCCCGU
rnacentral:rRNA from 1 species